UAUCUACUCCCUCCGUUCGGAAUUACUUGUCGUAGAAAUGGAUGUAUCUAGAUGUAUGUUUGUUCUAGAUACAUCCAUAUCCGAGACAAGUAAUUCGGAACAGAGGGAGUACUAG
rfam:Triticum aestivum genome assembly, contig: Triticum_aestivum_CS42_TGACv1_scaffold_307691_4AS